UUCAGAGGAGAGUUCUGCUGGUAUUAAUCUUACAAAAAAAUGACAGCUGUGUGUGAUUUACUGAAGAAGAGAAAUCAGAGUUUGGGUUAUGUGUGCUGGGUUAGUUUAGAUGUUCCUGAUGAUGGUGUCUUUAGCCUGAUGCUACAGGUUUUCCUCAGAUUCAUGUGCUGUUCUUGGUCUCUCUGGAUUAUCUCCAGCUCCUCUGUGUUGAUGCUCUGUUGAAGCUUUGGUUAACAGCAGUCGGUGGAUCAAACAGUCUGUUUCUGAUAGACCUUUAGGUUUUGUAAGGACCUUAGGCCAGUAGUUCUCAAGUCCAGUCCUUGAGGCCCACUGUCCUGCAUGUUUUGGAUGUUUCCCUGCUCCAACACACCUUAUUCAAAUGAUCAGCUCGUUAUCAGGCUCUGUAAUGGCUUAAUAACGAGCUGAACAUUUGAAUCAGGUGUGUUGGAGCAGGGACACAUCCAAAACAUGCAGGACAGUGGGCCUCAAGGACUGGACUUGAGAAUCACUGCCUCAGGGUGCGGUCAGUCUGGUUCUUUGUGAACCCUGAUCUUUCUUGUGUUUCCUCAGCUGACUGUCUGCUGCUCUGGUGCUUCACACAGGAAGCAUGUUGGCUUUGUGAAGGCCUCACACCCAAAUACCAGCGAAUCUAUGUCCAGUGUGUGUCCACUUUGAUCUCGUUUGACCCCGCUCACUCAACAAACACCAGCUAUUAUCUAAUGACAUCAGAUAACAGAAAUAUUUCUUUUUUUAAUCUCCAUAGACCACGUUCACCCCGAAGAGCAGCACAGCAGUUUAUGAAUCCUACAAUACAAUCCUACAACAUUUACUAACUGCAUCUAAGGUUUGGGUCGGACCAUCAACAAUCACACCCUAAAGGUCUUUAUAAAAACAGACAUUCAAAUAAUGGGUCAGAAAUCUGCCAUCACUGACCCACUCUGCACUAAUAUAAUUUAUAGAGUUUUCAAAGUUUUUUCAUUCAUAUAACUAUCGAUUCAAAGAGUGUGACCGACCUGACAGCAGAAAUAUUCUGAUAAAGGAGGAGCAGAAUCAUUCAUCUCAAGUUCCUUACACACCGGGGCCGACACGAAUAUAGAUCAUGAAAUUACGAAAUAUUUGGAGGAGAAUUUUGAUGCGCCUGACUAUACACAUAAAGCCUGAUGUGAUUUUGCGACUUCCGGGGGAAAGACGUGUCCCGGGUAGAAGCGGGAAGACUGACACAACAGCAGACUGACUGUUUUUCAGUUCUGAUUAGACACUAGUGUUGAGAUGGCUGUCUGUCAUGAUAGCAUGUUCUGAGUCGGGGCCAGUACCAGAUAAACACAUUAAACUAUAAUCCAUGAACGUAAGGUAACAACCGAGACCUAAUGUUGCUGUUUUUUAUCAAAAAUCGACCAUGAUCCGAAAAAAUAAAUGUCGCAGUAUCGCAGGAAAGCAAAAUGUUGUAUUGACAGGAUAUGGGUUUGAAAAAAAUACUGACAUCCAAAAUGAUUGCACGACAAAAACGAUCCCGGUGUGAAAGGACCAUCAGUGAGAGGAAUAAACUCUGACAUGCAUUAUUAUCUGAAUAAAGAAACCAUCAGAAUAUCAAGACCCACUACGAUGAGUGAAAAUCAUGUUUUUCUUGUUUUUUUUAUGUGUUCAUAUGGCAUUUUUUCGGAUGCUAUGGGACAUAUCAUGAGAAAACUAAAUGCGAAAUCGCUUUUUUUGAGUAUUUCUUCAUUCAAAUCACUGUAAAUCUCUGGCAGACCCAAACAGCAGGUUCAAAAACAGUGUUAAUUCAUAGGUAACCAAUCCAAGCUCUGCUCCCAGAGCCCCGCUAUGCAAGCCACACUCUGCAUAUAGAGGAGAAAUACAGAGGACAAUGGCAAAACAAGCGUGUGCGUUAGUGGAUUGCAGUGCUCGUAAGAAAGCUAAUUAUGAUAUUAGUUUUCAUCGUGUCCCGAGAGACAUUCGUAUCCGAGAGCUGAAUAGCUCCUAUGUUACCUGCCACUUCUGCUGCACAGGCAAUGUUAGGCUGAAAGUUAACGUGAAGAUGAGUGUGCAGAACAGCGCUGUCUCCGCCCACGACUAAGAGGUGAAUUGCUAGUGAGCUACAAGAGCUCUGCAGAAGAAAAGCCCUUGAAAAUGACACUUGUGACGCGAUUUUUGGUAAAACUUCAUAAUCACAAUUUGAAGACCACUGAGAACACUUUCAGUAGUCAAAAGAAAUGAUCAGAGUGGGACUUUAAGGGUUUUAAUACAUACUUAAAGAAAAAGCUGAGAAUGAAUCCAGACUGUGGACAGUGAGAGUUUCAAAUCAAAAACCUCAUGGAAACAUAAACGUGCUCUGGAAGUGUUUUUGACUCUCCUGAUGCUGCUCUCCAUCUUAGCUGAAGCCUUCCUUGUUCUUGCUCACACUGAUUUUUCUGUGUGGUUUUAACGUUGACUAUAUUUUUGACUUAGGACUCUGUUAUCUUCUGUUUACAUUUAUCAAAGUCUGAUUAUGAAGUCUCCUGGGUUUACACUUUGAAGAGAGGUUGAUGCAUUUGUUAGUGACAAAUAAAUAAGUGAAUACAUUAAAAUGAAUUAAAAAAAUAUUUGUCUCUUGAUGCAGUGGUCCUGAUCUGAGUUUUCACCUCUGAUUUACCUGUUCAUCUGCUCAGGUGUCUUUAUUUUACUCCUUGCUGGACCUCAUCCAGGACCUGUUUGAGCUUUCCCCUUUUCCUCCUAAGACUGUGUCUGAUUUUAGCACGUCAUCCAAAAACUCUGUAAAUUAAAGCCUUUUAUGUUUUCGCUUCAGAGUGUUGUUUGUUCUUUGUUUUGAAGGUUUGUUUUUCCCACCAAAGAGCAUAUUCAUCAGUUUUUAUUUGAACUUCUGGUUCCCAUCAACUCCAAUUAUGUGAAUAAAUUUAAGAGGUUAUGACAGGAUUACACAAUAUGCCGAGCACCAGUCAUUUGGAUAAUUUGAGGCAUUUUGUUCCUGUUUUUCUCCCUGAAAUGACCCCGGGUUUAAUGAGCAAAUCUCUUUCCUCUGGUCUGAGCCAUGUUUUUAUCAAAGAGCAGACCUCAUACCAACGUUUCCAUCCCUUUAUUUUAGUCCACUCUUGGGUGGAGGUCUAACACAGUGAGUUCCAGGAGGAUCAAAAUGCUCCUACUCUUAAAAACAGACAGAUUUGACUUUCCAACGUCCUCUUUCGUCUUUAACUUUGAGCCCUUGUUUCCCUCGUAUUUCUGCUAUCUAUCUUAGUUGUCUUUGUUUUCUACGAAGAAGCCUAGUAUGGUUCACCUGUCUUGUGAAUGAGGAGCCUGAAUGGUGUACAGUAGUAGGAAGAUGGUAUACCACCUGCUGACCCACCUGUGAGAGCUGGCCCAGCAGCAUCAUUCAGAAGCAGCUUCAUGGCCAUCACCUUACCGCAGUGCCGCACCUACUGCUGAUGAGGGAUUGGAAACUGGUGAGGCAGGUGAUACAACCCGGCUCACAGAGAGAAGGAAGCAACAUAAAGCCCAGAUGGAGCUGCUACAUUUGUUCCAAAAGAAGUCAAAUUGACAGUGUUAAUACCAAUUAUGAGAAAAAAAAUAAACAUGAUACGUGCCAAAGGAAUUCAGGAAAGAAUUGAGGAACAUUUUUUGGUAACUUGGAAAUAUAAUCUGUAUAGAUUUUAGUAUAUUUGUGGGGCUCAAACGACUGAAUGAGGAACUGCUGCAACAGGUGCACUGAUGCGUGUCCAGAUAUCUGUAUACUUGUUCUUAUUGAGAAAAAUCAGCGUGUCCCCAUGGUUAGGUGUGCUUGUAGUCUGUGUCCAUAAUGGGGGCUAUUGUGUUGUGUAUUGCUCCCUAAAAUGGGCUCAUGAAGACUAGGUGCAUGGCUGCAGCUGCUGUGUGCAACAACAACAUUUCCAAGAAGUGAUAAUCAUAAAUUUACUUCCUUGAGCUGCAGAACUCCACUCGGUGAUCGGCUUGUCAGGGCUCCCCCACAAACAAGCAGCUACUGAAGGAGUGUGGCAGAGUUGUGUUUGGUCUCUUUGCCAAAGAAACCAGGGAAAGCUAAAAAGAUGUUUGGUGGCUAUUACAAAACCUAAUUCCAUUGAAGAUGGGAAAUUGUGAUAAACGUAAAUAAAUACAAAUAAAUAUAAAAAACAGAAUACAAUGAUUUGCAAACCCUUUUCAACCUAUAUUCAAUUGAAUACACUACGAAGACAAGAUAUUUAAUGUUCAAACUCAAAGUUUUUUUUUUUUUUUCAAAUAAUAAUUAACUCAGAAUUUCAUGGCUACAACACAUACCAAAGUAUUUUGGACAGGGGCAUGUUUACCACUGUGUUACAUCACCUUUCCUUUUAACAACACUCAAUAAACGUUUGUGAACUGAGGAGACUAAUUGUUGAAGCUUUGAAGGUGGAAUUCUUUCCCAUUCUUUCUUGAUGUACAGCUUCAGUUGUUCAACAGUCCGGGGUCUCCGUUGUCGUAUUUUACGCUUUAUAAUGUGCCACACAUUUUCAAUGGGAGACAGGUCUGGACUGCAGGCAGGCCAGUCGAAUACCCGCACUCUUUUACUACGAAGCCACGCUGUUGUAACACGUGCAGAACGUGGCUUGGCAUUGUCUUGCUGAACUAAACAGAGGCAUCCAUGAAAAAGACGUUGCUUGGAUGGCAGCAUAUGUUGCUCCAAAACCUGUAUGCACCUUUCAGCAUUAAUGUUGUCUUCACAGAUGUGUAAGUUACCCAUGCCUUGGGCACUAAUGUACCCCCAUACCAUCACAGAUGCUGGCUUUUGAACUUUGCGUUGACAACAGUCCGGAUGGUUCUUUUCCCCUUUUGGCCCGGAAAUGUGACCACAGAACACUUUUACACAUUGCAUCAGUCCAUCUUAGAUGAGCUCGGGCCCAGAGAAGCUGGCGGCGUUUCUGGAUGUUGUUGAUAAAUGGCU